rnacentral:rRNA from 1 species
ACCUGCGGAAGGAUCAUUUA